UACAGAGGUCUCAAGCGUUGUUCGGAUUCAUUGGGCGUAAAGGGUGCGUAGGCGGCGCGGUAAGUCGGGGUGUGAAAUCUUGGAGCUUAACUCCGAAACUGCAUUCGAUACUGCCGUGCUUGAGGACUGGAGAGGAGACUGGAAUUCAUGGUGUAGCAGUGAAAUGCGUAGAGAUCAUGAGGAAGACCAGUGGCGAAGGCGGGUCUCUGGACAGUUCCUGACACUGAGACACGAAGGCCAGGGGAGCAAACGGG
rnacentral:rRNA from 1 species